UCCUCCAAGACCGAUGUCCCUUGGCUCUUGUGGGCCAAUUCAAAAAAACCCUAGCAGGAUGGAUAUAAAAGCAAGAACAUUCUCCUGAUGGAGGGGGCGGCUACUGUUCAAAAAGGAAGAGGACGAACCCCUAAGAACACCACAACGAAAUCAAUCAGAGCGAUUCUUGAGAACCCAAACAAAACUGUAAAACUGUAAAAGAAUGGAGUCCAAAGGAAAAGGAAGAGAAGCGGUCACGUAGCUAUUCAUCUGCUCCAAAGUACCCCGAUCCGGUAAAUUUAUUGCCCAUUUCUGUGUUUCAUUCCCAGAUUCACGAAUGUGUGCAUAGUUCCUCUCUUCCAUGCUUUGUUUUAUUUCUCUGCAAAAUGAUUGUCCUUUUUUUUGUCGUUUGAUGUUGGAGGUUGACUUCGUGGAUUAGGGUUCAAGAUUUGGUAGAUGUUAAUUGGAUUUGUUCCUUUUUUUUCUUAAUGCUAAAAUUUGGUUUGUGUAAGGAGAAAUAAACUUUGAUUUAUUCCGUAAGUGUUUCAAGCUGAGAAGAGAAGGAUUUGAAGCAGAGCAGAACACUCCAUGUUCCGUUUCGCUUUUGUAUCAAAAUGAGUUUUAAGGCCAAAGAUGAACGGUGCCUUUCCCCUUGCCCGAGAUUAAUAUUGUUUUGUUUCACCCUAGGCUUUAAUGGACUUCUUUCUCGGUCACGACGUGUGGUCGUUGGGGUGGGAGAAUCUUGUCUCCACACGUGUCUUCUUGCGGAAGGUGGAGGGUUUUGCUGGAUCCGACCCAUGGUUUCGGAUAACCCGGAUGGAUCCUGCCCAUUUGGUCCUCCUAGGUUGACGACCCACCCCCGCUCCGUCUACUUUGCUGCGCCUUGAUGGGCCUUAGGAGCAUUCAGGGCCCACCGUUUUUUUUUACUAUUUUUGUUGGCAUUUGUUUUGUUUUUAUUAUUUCUCUUUUUCUUUUCUUUCAAGAAAUAAUUUUAUUUAUUUAAAAUGAAGUUUUAUUUAUCAAUUAGGUUUUUUAUCAAUACCUAAAUUUUAGUCAUAUAAUUCACUAUUAUUAUUGCUAUUAUCAUCAUCCUUAAUUAUCUACUGUAACUUAGACUUUGAUUUAUUUCCUUCUUGGGAUUUAUGUGAGUUAUCACACUUAGUCUUGUUUAUUCAUUCGUACAAAUUGUCGACUUUUGGUGCGUGUGAUAUGUCACAAUCACGAUAAACCAUUUCAAUUUCAUGAAGAAAAAAGAAACCCAUUCAAACCAAUUUCAAAAAAAUAAACCAUCCAUUUCUCGAUUCAAUGUCGAGUCCAUUUUUCAAAUACCUUUUAAGUCGACUGCUUUUAAGCAUCGCCAUCAACCUCACAUAGCUUACUCUUGGGCUUCCUUACAAUAAGACCGUUCUCUCGCACUUACACUCAUGCAUUGUUUAUUCGUUGUUUGAGCCCGAGUUAUUUACUUAAAUAUCUUGAGUACCCAUUUGACAAAAUGUACCCUCAUUCCCAUGAUGUGUAAUAAUAUUACUAUUUUAUUUCUUUAUCUUCUUGACUACUUAGCUAGCUACUAACACGAGAAUAAAAUCAACCUUUUUCAGAAGGAUCAAGAAAAUAAAGACUCGACCCAACGUCGAGCAUUUUCUCUAUAAACAAUAUUCAUUUGUUUCUACCUAUUCCCUUUUCUUUCAAACCACUUCAUUUCAAAUCUUUCUCAAUCACUCAUCAAAUGCUUGAUCCAACGUUAAGCCGCUUUCACAAUAAAAACUCAAAAAACAAAUUAAUAUUUAAGACCUUUUCAAUAAAGAUGGAUGUGGAACGUGGUGGAUACCACGCACUCCUGAGACUAAGGUUCGAGAUGGAUGUCUCGCCGAUCUUAGCUCUCGCCGUCAUCCAAAUCUAUCUAUUUUGUUUCUUUCAAACCUUCAUUCAAAUUUUUCUUAAUCGUCCAUCAAAUACUUGAUCCAACGUCAAGUCAUUUUCAUAAUAAAACGAAAAAAUACUUAAUGUCUAUCUAAACACUUUUCAAUAAAGAUGGAAAUGGAACGUGGUGGAUACCACGCACUCCUGAGACUAGGAUUCGAGAUGGAUAUCUCGCCUAUCUUAGCUAUCACCAUUAUCCAAAAUUGUCAAUGCAGUUUCUUCAAACCCUUUUCUCAAUCAAAAUCAAAAACACUUAAUUCUUAUUAAAUACUUUUGCAAAUAAGAUGGAAAUGGAACGUGGUGGAUACCACACACUCAUAAGACUAGGAUUCGAGAUGGAUAUCUCGCCCAUCCAAGUUCUCGCCAUUACUCCAAAGACAUCAAACCAAUCAAUUUCUUUUCUCGCCGUCGUGCGAUUGAUCCUUAAACCUUUUCUCAAAUGAAAUGUACUUUGUUUCAAAACAAUGCAAGGCAAUGUUUCUCCACCUGUUUUGGGUAGUCUAACAAUGUUUUCGUCGAUUGACACAAAGUAGCUUUCGCUAAAAUCGGCCAACAAACAAACAUUUUUCUACCCAGAACUACAUAAGCCUUGAUUUCUCUAUUGAGAUACGUAGGAGCAGGAUUUGUAAAUCUUGUCAGGCCCAUUAAUAAAAAACUUAGGUUUAGUCCUUUGUCGAAAAUCCUAAAACAUUUUUCUCUCUUCCAUUCUUUCUUUCCCACCUAACCACUUGAAAAGCCUAACAUUUCAAACUAACACUAAUGCGCACAACUAACAUAAUGGUUCCCGUUGAGUACAACGGACGUGAGGGGUGCUAAUACCUUCCCCUUGCGUAAUCAACUCCCGAACCCUGAUUUGGUUGUGACGACCAUAAUCAUUAUCGUUCUUUCUUGGGUUUUAUCGAUAUUUCCCCUUUCCUUUUAGGAAUAAAUAAAGUUAGGUGGCGACUUUGUUCAGUCCAUCAUUGCGAGCGUGCAAUUUUGCACUUCGCUAAGUCGUAUUCCCAUUUUCCGAGGUACGACAGAUGGCGACUCUGCUGGGGACAUGUCGUUCCCUAAGUGAGUCAAGCCUAGUUCGGACGUUUGUGUGCCUUUGUUUGUUUAAUUGUGUGGAUUUUCUUUAUUGCUUUUAUUAUCUUUAUUGUUAUAUUGAUAUAUCUGUUGUAUAUUGGUUCCACUAUGUUGUAGUACUUGGAUAUUUUGAUUGCAAAACCUGUGGGAAAGACUCUAUACCCGAGUCUAGAGUGGAAAAAAAAUGAGAUAGGACGAUGGUUGAGUAGUACAGACUCCCGAGGUGAAUACUUCAUAAGAGUCGGUAUGAGAACCUCACUUAGAGUAGAUCCUUUUGCAAAUAUUAUCGCCCGAGGUGGAUACUUCGUAAGCUUCAAUAUUUCAAAGGGGUCCAUGACUCUAAGAACCUUUUAGAACAUUGAACCUUUGGCCAACUAGAAAUGAUGGUUGCGUAGUAUGGAUUCUCGAAGUGAAUACUUGUAAGAAUCGGUACGAGAACCUCGCUCAGAAUAGAUUCUCUAGAUGGAGUUGACGAUCAGAAAGUAUUUUCCGUAAGCGUCAAACAUUCUUUCGAAUCCAUGACUCUUAGUACCCGGUCUAGAACCAAGUUGAGGGUUGCGUAGUACGGACUCCUGAGGUGAAUACUUCGUAAGAGUCGGUACGAGAACCUCACCCAGAAUAGAUUCCCUUGAUGGAAUUGAUGACCAGAAAGCAUUUUCCAUAAGCGUCAAAUAUUCUUGCGAAUCAAUGACUCAGAGGAUCCUUUGUAACAAAACCUUAGAUCACACCCGGUGAGAACCCCAUUUUGGAAAUGCAAUCAGAUUUAUCCAUACCUCGGGCCUUUGAACCUGUACCAAAAUAAAACAUUGCAUCCAUUCAUUCAUUGCAUACGCAUAAAAAGCAAAACUCUUAGUUUGUUUCGCAUUAUUUCAGGAAUCCAAGACUUGUUAGCAAAAUGAAUCCUGAGAGAAAAAGCACUUUUCAAUUCAAAUACCAGAACGUGGACCUUGCCAGCCUGCAAAAGUUGAAUGCCAAAGUAACACCGAUCAAACUCAACAGCUUUGUGCAAGACUAUGGAAGAAUUCUGGACAUCCUAAAUGAGAAGAUGGACAUGAUGACCGCAAUGACUAUUGCUCAGUUCUAUGAUCCACCUCUACAUUGUUUCACGUUUUCUGACUUCCAAUUGGCUCCUACCUUGGAGGAGUUUGAGAGGAUCAUAUGCCGGAAUUUAAAGGAUCAUGAUCCAUUUCCGAAGUUUGAUGAAGGUAUUCCUCCAAAGAGGAUAGCUUUAGCUUUGGGUCUGAAGGUUUCUGAAGUCGUGGACAAUUGGGAUGUGAAGGGAGCUUUCAAUGGUUUUUAUAGGAAGUUCUUGGAAUAUCAAGCUAAGAAGAUGGAAAAGGAGGGGAAUUGGGAAGCUUUCUAUGAUGUGUUAGAUGUGUUGGUAUAUGGGAUAGUUCUUUUCCCAAUAUUGACCAUUUUGUGGACCACCUGGCGGUGAGAAUCUUUCUCUCUGGUAACCCUGUAUCGUUCCUCCUAGCAGACCUUCACUACACUCUCCAUGGUCGUCAUGAGAAGAAGGGAGGAACCAUUUUAUGUUGUGCACAGCUGUUGCAUGCCUGGCUUAGAUCUCAUAUGCCCGAAGAUGGCCCUUUCGUCUCGAAGGAACUCAAGCCCUCCCAGAAGUUAGCUUCCCUCACCUCCAAUCAUGUUAAGUGGUAUAUCAGGGAUUGGGAAACCGAGGAUGUUAUUGUCAGCAUUGGAGACUUCCCUAAUGUACCUUUGAUAGGAACCAAGGGUUGCAUCACUAUAACCCUGUGUUAUCUUUGAGGAAGCAUAGUUACCCUAUGAAUGGCCCUCCAAAAGCUGAAGCUUUAGAGCCUUUCAUCUUGCACAGUGCUGAAGCAGAUCAUCCCAUAGUGAAGAAGAUCAAGAGGUCUUGGCAAGCAGUUAUCAAAAAAGGUAAGGAAUUGGGUAAGAGAAAUGUCAUCGCUCGAGAGCCUUAUACUUGUUGGGUGAGAGAGAGGGUUCAAAUGGUUAAACUCCCUUUUCCAUUUGAUCCUUCUAUCUAUUUGUCGGUUCCUGGGCCAGAACCCAUAUUACCUGAAGAUGUGGAGAAGCUUAAUGCCCGUAUUAAGGAGCUGGAGUUGGAGAAUGCUGACUUAAGGAUUAAGCUCGACCGAGUCUCGGUAGAGAAUGGGAAUUUGAAAGAUGGUCAACAGAAAAAGGACAAAGAGUUUGAAAUCUCCAACAAAAUAGCUAGGGAGUUUAAGGCAAGGAGAGAAAAGUUCGGAUAAGCGCUCUACAACACUAAAUCUGUGUUCAAGACAAAGGAGGAUGAGUUGGAUAUAUCUUUACUCCGGAUUCAAAAACUCAACAAGACUCUGGAAUUGACCCUUGAAAUGAAAAGGGAAGCACGAAUGAUUUAUGAGAUUCGUACUCGUGAACUGGAGAAUACCAUUCAGAAAUGCAAGGAUACUCUGGAACGCGAGAAGCUAAGGACUGAAGAGUUGGAAAGAGUUUGCACACGGCUGAAUUAUUAGUUGGAACAAGCCAAUGCUAGAACCCAGGCACUUGAAAGUGGAGAUCAGGAUGCUGCCUAUCUGAUGUUGCUGGGUGAGUGCAGAUACUGGAGAAACCUCUAUAGGGACAUAGAGGUGACCAAGGCUGAAGACUUGCGCAUCAUUCAAGACCUCCAAGGGCUUUACACUGAGUGGAAGGGCAAAUUUCUGAGGCUGUCCAGAUUUGUAAAUUCCGUCAUGCAAGAGCUACCUGAGAAACUGCAAGAAGAUGAUUGGUGCAUAUGUCCAUAGAACACCCCACAUUAAGUUUUUAAUUUUAUUAAAUUUUGUAAGGCGAUGUUGGAAGGGUUGACUACCGACCUUGCUAUGGUUCAGAAAUCCCAUAAGCCAUAAGCAUUUUGUUUAUAUUUGAAUUUUGUUCUAAACUAAUGAAAAAAUUGCUUUUGGGAUUCAUUUUAUUGUGUUUUAUUGCUUUAUUGCUUUAAAUACUGGUGAACAAAUGUUGUGGCAUUUCUGAAAUGAAUGACUGAAACUAACCAAGAGUUUUGCAAACAAGAUGCAUUCAUACAUGCAUUCAUACAUUUUCAAAUAGAGUCUUACUCCGUCCUUUCUUCCUCCAGUUUCACGCUGAAUCUUCAACACUCGUAUAAUACCCGCGCCCGAGCAAGACAAAGGAUGGCUGAACAAGAGCAAGAGAGCGCCCGAGUUAGAGUUGAACUAGACGAGAUCAAAGGGGGCAUGUCCCAGAUGAGGGAAAUGCUACAAGCUUUGACUUUCAGAUUUGAGGUUCUGCAAGCGACCGUGAUUUCAGAGACCACGGGAGCAGUAGUGGAAGUCCAACAUCAGAGGAUGUUACCCUUAACCCUUCCUCCAUAUGGGAUACCUUACGACUUCGUCCCUCGAGCGGAAGUAGUGCACAACAUGGGGCAAUCUAUCCAACAAGCCGUGCCAUUACCGGUUUACACUGAUGCACGCCCAGUCAUCCAUAUUGUUGCUCCACCAGCUGCCUAUGCUAGGCAUAUUUCACACUUUGAAGAUCAACAUCACAUGUAUUAAACUAUCGACUCAACCUUUGUUGGUGACGAAGUAAGAUUUGAAGAUUUCAGAGAAGUAAAGGAGAACAUGCAACUCCUUGAGAAGAAGUUCCGAGAUUUAGAAGGAGACCACGUCUUUGGAUCUGUCACCAACGAAAUGUGCCUUGUAUCUGGGUUGGUGAUUCCGGCAAAAUUCAAAACUCCAGAAUUCGACAAAUACAAGGGGCAUACUUGUCCAAAGAGCCAUCUCAUCAUGUAUUACCAAAAAAUGGUUGCACACUUGGAAGACGACAAGCUGAUGAUCCACUAUUUUCAAGAUAGCUUGAGUGGGGCUCCUUCCAAGUGGUAUUUAAGUCUGGAUUAGAAUAGGAUCAGAUGUUUCUAAGACCUGUCAGACGUGUUCAUAAAACACUACAAAUACAACAUGGACAUGGCACCUGACAGAAGACAGUUGCAAAGCAUGUUCCAGCAUGACAAAGAGUCCUUUAAGGAAUAUGCUCAGAGAUGGAGGGAACUGGCUUCCCAAGUUGAACCACCUCUAGCCGAGAAGGAAUUGGCUGAACUAUUCAUCGACACUGUCCAACCCCAAUUCUAUGAGAAGAUGGUUGGAAGUGCUUCCUUGGGAUUCUCCGAGUUUGUUGCUAUAGGGGCUCGCGUCGAAUAUAGUUUAAGAAAUGGCAAACUUACAGCUGUAACUGGAACUUCAAAUGCUAAUCCGAAGAAGUUCACUGGAGGGUUUCCCAGAAAGAAGGAAGGGGAAACAAAUGUUGUGACUGUUGGCCAAGGAAGAGCCCCUCCAAGAAGGAGACAACAACAAUAUUCACCUCAGCAGUAUGUUCAACAACCUUGUCCAUAUCAGCAGCCCCUGUAUCCCGUCCAGUACGCCCCACAACUGUAUGUAGCUGUUGUGACGCAUGUAUUCAAUCAACAACCUGCUCAGGCUUAUCAAGGGCCUCCAGUUUAUCGACCAGCUCCAGUUCAACAACGUGUUGUGAUUCCUCCAUCUUAUCAACAAGCACCAGCAGCUCCUGUCUAUCAACAGCCGAGAGCUCAAGUUCCAAGGUAGAAUGCUCAGAACCAGAAUAGGAGGUAAGGGGAUAGGGCGACAUUCAAUCCAAUCCCAAUGUCGUACGCUGAGCUUUAUCCCUCCCUGUUACAAAAGGGUUUGGUGGUUCCCAGACCUAUGGGACCUCCACCUGAUCGUCUGCCUCCAUGGUACAACCCUAAUGCACACUCACCUUUUCAUGAAGGUGCCCCCGGGCACGACCUAGAGGGUUGCUAUGCUUUGAAGCAUAGGGUUUGUGAGCUGAUUGACAACAAGAUCAUGUCUUUUAAGGAUAUGGGACCGAAUGUGAAGAAUAAUCAUCUUCCUCCCCAUGGAGAUCCCGCAGUGAACACCAUUGAAGAUGCCUCUGUUGGUGUUAUGGUUGAGAAGGUGGAGGGUGUCAAGACUCCUUUGGUAGCGCUCCAUGCCCGGUUGAUGGAAUUUGGCCUGAUUAAUGUUAAUCAUGAAAAUUGUGAAGAGUGUGCCACAUACCCAAGGGGGUGUCAGGUGGUACGAGAUAACAUUCAAGAUUUGAUGAAUAAAGGAGUGCUUCAGAUAUCCAAUGUUAUGAAGGAUGAAGAUGUGUUGGUAAUUAAACCUUGCUUCAAUUUACCCGAACCUAUUGAAAUCCCAUAUUACAGUCGUGGAGUGGUUCUUACGAAUAGUCAUCCGUCACCCGUUGAGAUAUGUAUGCCCACGCCUUUUCCAUAUGAGAGCACCAAGGUUGUGCCUUGGAAAUAUGAGAUUAUCGCUGUGGACAAGGUUGUUGAAGGAAGUGCAGACGUUGAAGUGACAGAAGUUGUAAGUGAAGACGUCACCAAUAUUGCCGAAAUGAGCAAAUGACCCAUAGUGGUCGAAUCUAUACGCCUGAAUUCAAUGUGACUCCUCAAGGGUCGACCAUGGAACCUACAGUUGCAACUCCCACUAAAGAACCCGAAGUGGUCCAAUAUGGAGAUGUUAUUGAAUUAUUGAAGUUGAUCAAGAGAAGUGAUUACAAAGUGGUGGAUCAACUGCAUCAGACACCCUCUAAGAUCUCUAUUAUGUCUCUGCUAUUGAACUACCAAGCCCAUAGGGAGGCUUUGUUGAAGGUUCUUGCCCAAGUUCAUGUAACACAAAACAUAACAGUAGACCAGUUUGAUGGGGUGGUUGCGAACAUCACAGCUUGUAAUACUUUGAGCUUCAGUAGAGAGGAAUUACCUGAAGAUGGACAAAAUCAUAAUCGUGCUCUCCAUAUCUUGGUAAAAUGCAAAGAUGAUGAUUUGGCAAGAGUCUUGGUUGAUACCGGGUCUUCUUUGAAUAUGAUGCCAAAGAGAACACUCGCCAAGUUAUCUUAUCAAGGACCAGCUAUGAAGCCUAGUGCCUUGAUAGUGAAAGCUUUUGAUGGUUUUAGAAGACCCGUGAUUUGAGAGGUUGAACUGCCCAUAUUGAUUGGCCCUCAUGUAUUCCUAAUUAAUUUCCAAGUCAUGGAUAUUAAUCCAGCGUAUAGCUGCUUAUUGGGGCGUCCUUGGAUUCAUGCGGCAGGGGCAGUCACCUCCAUUUUACAUCAAAAAAUGAAUUUUAUGGUGGAUAAUCAACUGAUCAUCAUUUCUGGGGAAGAGGACUUUGUGGUUAGUCAUCUUUCAUCCUUCAGAUAUAUCGAGGCUGAUGAGGACGCUUUGGAAACUUCUUUCCAAGCUCUUGAAAUAGCCAAUGCCAUAUUUUUGGAGAUGAGGGACCCGGUUGGGAAAGCUUGUUCAUCUUUCGCUUCUUUGAAAAGCGCCAAGUAUAGUAUUGAAGGAGGAAACCCUGAAGGUUGGGGUCAACUUAUUGAUGUUCGUGAGAAGCAUGAUCGCUUUGGUCUGGGAUAUGUGCCUUCCACUGCGAAAGGAGCCCGAGUCCCUGCAAAGGACAACACUCGAAGCAUCCAGGAAGUAUUCCUCAGUACAGGAUUCAUCCAUGGAGAUCAGGUCAAUGCAAUUGGAGAUAACACUAAAGACGAAGAUGACCCAUGUUUGGUUUACCGGUGUGAGACAGCUUUGAACAAUUGGAAGGCGGUUGAGAUCCCUGAAAUUUUUCCUUUGUCAAAGUAAUAAUUAUUGUUUUUCCUUUCAAAUCCUUAGCUCUGCCCAAGGCUAAUUGAUCAUGUUGUAGGGCCCCUUUUCAUUUUUAAAUAAUCAUUAUCAGUGAAAAAAAGGCAUUUCGUUAAAUUCUUAUUAUUUAUUUGCUUUCUCUUAAGAAAAUGCCAAUCUUUUCAAAAGACAAAAACUUUUCAUUUGUGCAUCUUUUACUUUUCCUUUUCUAAAAAAAACCAAUCAUUCAAACAUACAGAAUAAAUGAUAACCCCGUUGAAUCCAAUGACUCUACUCCCUCUCAUAACUUUGACUCCCCUAUCUACCAAGCUGAAGAAGAGGGCAAGGGAGAUUGUUACAUCCCCGACGAAUUGGCAAGGCUGCUCGAGCACGACUCCAAAGCCCUUCAGCCACAUGAAGAACCGGUGGAAACAAUCAACCUUGGCACAGAGGAAGAGAAGAAAGAAGUCAAAGUCGACACCACGCUUGAAGCAAGCAUCAAAGAGAGAUUGGUUAAGCUGCUACAAGAAUAUGUGGAUGUAUUUGUAUGGUCAUACCACCAAGCAUGCUUGAAUUUUAUAUUAUUGCUUUUAUUAUUUUUUUUACUAACCAAAAGCACAAAAAUAUGUCACUAACUUGUUUUGUUUUGUAGCUUGAGCAAUCAUGUGAUCCAAGGCUCCUAGGAGACCCCUAUGUUCAUUGAUGUGGCUAGAUGAAGUUGAAAGCAAGCAUGGAAAUGGUUCCCAAAGCUCUCAAUCAUCAUAUAUGCCUCCCAAGUAUCUCAAUUUGUCAAUUUGAUCAAGAUAAACCAAAAGGCUUGAGGAUUGUUUCCCAAGGAAACCUUAAUUCAUCUGUGCAUUGACUUUGCCUUGCUCAUGAAGCAACCUCAACCCAUGAUCAAAUACAAUCAAGGGAAGUUAUUUCAUUCAUCAUUUUAUGCAUAUAUGUGUCUAUGUGAGUAUCCUCAAUCAUCAAUUCAUUAAGAUUUGAAGUUUGGACUUGAGAAGUUGAUCAGUCAAUUCAUCUGACUAUUUUGAGAUCCACUGAGACCUAACUUUUGAUGUGUUUGUCAAAUGAAGCUGACCCUGGAUCCAAAAUGUUCCUAAGAACCAUAUGAACAACUUUCAUGUUCAUCAAAAAUUUAUUUUAAGCUUGGAAGGUCAUCAUUCAUUUCAAAACAUUAUAGGUCAUUUUGACUGAAACCCUAAUUUUGGGUCAACUUCCCAAGGACAUAACUCACUCAUUUUCCAUGAUUUUGAGGUGGGAUCAAAUUCAUUGGAAAGUUUAAGAUGUCUAAUUCAAUUGUUAUGUUGAACAAAAUUUCAUAAUCAUAAACGAAACACAUGUGAUAAUACAAAACAUUAUAGGUCACUUUGGACCAAAGCCAUUGAAUCUUGAAAAAGCCCAACUUCAAGUGCCCAUAACUUUCUCAUAAAAAAAUCCAAAUGAUGCACAAUUUAAGUCCAAAUUUAUUGUCUUGAAAAGAGCUACAACUUUUAUAUUUAAGGUUUUGCCAUUUGAGGCUUGCAUCAUUGAAACAGAAGGGCUUGAAGUUGGUCCAUUUUGAAAAAAUUCACAUACACAUGUUUUGUACAUUGAACGUCAUGGUCUAUUUUCAUAAAUUUCCCAAUCCCAAAUGGAUUUUUGUUCAACAUAACAAUUGUUCCUCAUGUCAAGACCUUUCCAACCAUAACCCACAUGACCAUGUUUCAAUUUGGCAAAGUGCAUUUUCGAAGAGGAGAAGAUUUAUGUUCAUUUAUGGAAACCAUGUCAAAACUCCAUGCACAAGCCAAUUCCAUGAGAUCUGCACGUCCAAAACACUCCAAUUAUGCUUCAGCUUGCAUUUGCCAUCAAGUUUGGGCCUCCCACGUGCCUGUACAGGCCCAUGCAUGGAGGCCCUCAUUCCACAUGCACACGAGUGUGGCAAGGCUUGCAUCAUCUCAUGCUAUAAAUACAUGUGCUUGGCUUCAUUCAUUGGCAACCUUAAGGCGCCUAACACUCUGCAGAAUUGAAAUCCCACCUUUCACUCAAAGGAAUUUUGCAUUUCUUCUUCAAUUUUUUAGUUCAAUUUUCAACUUCCUUGGUUGAUUAUCGAGCUUCAAUUCCUAAGCCUAGCUACUUUGCCAUCUCAAGAUCAUAUUGCAACAAAGAAUUGGAAGAGAUCGUGCCUUGUAAAGUGGCACUUCAAAGGUUGUUGUUCAAACUUUUUCCAUUCGAAUCUCCCUGGAUUUUGCUCAUUUCUUGUGUUUGUUGGUUCCUCUGAAGUCCUCAUGUGAGAGGCAAUUGAUCUGUGCAUUUAAUUUCAUGAAUUGAUCAAGUUCUGAUUGGACACCAUAAACUUCCAUCUCAGAUUUCUCUUCAUGUAGUGAUCUUGAGUGGAAACCAAUGGUACAGGGGUGAUGUACAUCACCCCCAGCUUUCCAAUGAUAUGAGGAUCGUGUAUUUUUAUGAAGCUUUUAAAACUUGCAACUCUGGCCGGAGCUGGCUUGCUCGCCGGAGAAGACGGUGGUGUACACCACCGUCCCCCAUGCGUGGAUACAUUUGGACCGUUUGUUCUCUUUUCCAGUUUGAAUCAGAGCCUUUGGAUGUUAUGACUUUUAAUAAUGAUGUGUGUUUCUCCUUUGACUCUGGAUCACCAUGAGCGUGCGCCUUACAGCCUCUUGAUGCGCGACAUCAUUUAAUGAAAUCAGAUCAAACGCUCCCUGUUUUUUUCUAAUUUCUGAUUUUCUAUUUUAUUUUCUUUUUAUUUCCUUUUAUUUCAAAAAUUCAUAACUCUUUCAUUUUAAAUCCAAAAAAUAUGGAAUUAAUUGUAUCAUUUCCCUUUUUAAUUCUAGUUGCUGAAAAUGAUUUUUAAUAUUUUUUAUGAGUUCAUUUAAUAUUUUUUGUGAAUUUUCUCUUUUCUGGUUAUUUUUUAAUUCAUUUAAAAUAGUUUCCAAUAUCCAAAAAUGCCAAAAAUAUUUUGUUAACAUCUUUGAAUGAUGAUGAAUCCAUGAAAAAUAUUCUCAUCAAUUUCUUAAUUGAUUUGAGAUUUAUUUGAGAUUUUAGUUUAAUUAUGUUAUUUUUUAUUCAUUUUUAAUUGUUUAAAAUUAGUUUCUGGUUUCUAAAAAUGAUGAAAAAAAUUGUCAAAUCUUGUUUGACCUUGUUAAACUUAGGAUGAUCCAUUUGGACUUUUCAAAGUUGAUUUGAAAUGGAUUUGAAGUUUGACCUUUAUUUGUUUAUUUUAAUUCAACUAUUAUUUUAAUUCUGAAAAAUACCAAAAAUAUUUUAUUUGUUUCUUGACUUCUAAGUUUCAUCUUGCUUCUGUUUACCAUUGGUUGACUUUGAUUCCAUUCAUGUUUGAUCAAUGUGUGUUGGAUAUUUCAUUUGAAUUCCAUUUAUGUACAUUUUUAUUCUUCUUCUUCAUCAUCUUUUUUCUUUUUGAUCAAUGAGUUAAAGAUUGGUGGUUAGCCUUGACAUAUGAGAGGCUUAACCUUCCUUGGUUCAAAUCAAAUUCAUCUUGAUCAAAGAUCAAGUGAAUUGCUUUGCAUUAAAAGAUUGGUGGUUAGCCUUGACAUAUGAGAGGCUUAACCUUCCUUGGUUCAAAUCAAAUUCAUCUUGAUCAAAGAUCAAGUGAAUUGCUUUGCAUUAAGGAUAGGUUACUUCUUGGUCAAGCAAAAAACCUAAAUCAAUACAAGAUCAUUCUUCUUUUCUUUGGGCAUGGCAAGUUGUAGGAGCUUGGCUCACUAGUCAUGAUCUCUAACUUGUGUUUGUUGUCUAUAGUUUUAUUGACCGACCUCAGAUAGGUGUGACUACUACAUUAGUCCACUUACGAUUACUUAACAUGGAGCUAAAUUGCCUUAUGACACACUAAUACUAACUACUAAUGACUAACUUUUAAUUCAAACAUUUAAUUCUUGCAAUUUACUUUAAUGCAAUUUAAUAUUCUUGUACAUUAAUUCAUUUGCUUCUGCCCUUUUCUCACUAGAGCUCAUGUUUAUGUUAAUGCAAUUUGCCUUUUGCUCACUUGAGCACAUUAUUGUGUAUAUACUAUUGUGCUUGUUUUGUUUUGUUUGAGUGAAUCCAAUGCAAAUGAGCAAAGGACUUAGUUUUUAGGACCUUACCUAUGCUAAUGGAGUUUGAAGAACAACUAGGCCUCAUGCCUUUAGAGUGCUAAAAAUGUCAAAGAGCAACUAGGCCUCAUGCCUUUAGAAUGCUUAAUGUUGAAGAUGAAUUGAAAGGACCUAAUUCUAAACUCACUCUUGUCCAUUCUUUCUAUUGCAUUGUGGAACUUUUUUAUUUGUGUGUUCUUGUGUGCUAGGAAUCCUAAAUUUGAGCUACAUAGAAGAACCAUUGUCAUGAGCAUCCAAAGUGAGAGAUACAAAAGCCAAUUGGAAGAUUCCUAGGAGCUUGUUUGGUUGUGUGCUUGAUUGCUUGAGUUAUUUGCUUAUUGCUUGCUAAUUCCAAAGGAAAGGGAACAACUUGGAUCAUCACUAUGAUCUCAAGAAGGGAACUCCAUGUGGUUUUAUUUCUCUUCCUUCAUCUUUGUAUGUUUAGGACUUAGCCAUUCUCUUCUUCUCUCCACUCUAACCCAAGCCAGACGUUUAUGCAAACAUUAACAUUGUUUUCAAAAUUAGAAACCUAAGCACUAUGCUUCUGAUUUUUUCAAACUCUUUUCAUAACACUUAUUUUGAAUUGAAUCCUAAGUCAACUUUGACCUUACUUUGUAAACACUUUUCAUUGGUAAAUACAACUCACUCAAUUGUUUAUGUUGUUUCAAUGGCCACUUCUUACCAAAGCUUUUCAUAAACAUUAGCUAUUAGGUUUGAGUUAUCCUAGAGGUGGAUAUAAUACUCACCUAUAUCCUUAGUGAUAGACUAUAAGUCUUCCAUGCUUAUUAUAGGGUUAACCCCUCACUAGCAUGUUGAAGCUCUCCUCACAUGGUGGAUUUGUGGUUUUAGGUUGAGUUUUCUCCUUUGAUAACAAAAGACUUAAGGAUUUUGACCAAUCAAUUCACCAACUUCUUUUGAGAUUUUUUACCCCGAACUACGAGGUUUUGAUCCUACCUUUUUAAGAUGGUACGUAGGCAUGGGUUUAUCAUUCAAACACAAAAUUGUAAAUAACUUGUAUAUUCUUUCUCAUCUCCCCAAUCAUGUUUGCACAAAUAUUUUUCACAAAUACCAACCUACCUUACAACAUUUGUAAAAAGGGCUCCCUUAGAGUACUAAGGAUGUUUUGGGUGCUUAAAACCUUCCCAUUUUAUAACCAACCCCCUUACCCAGAUCUCUGACAUUUUUAUUAGUUUUUGAUUUGAUAAAACUUCUCGGUUUUCGUUUGCUUUCUAACCUUUCCUUUGGAUAAAUAGAAGUGCGGUGGCGACUAGAAUUGUAUGAUUUACUUUUGAUUUAGUCAAUAAAUCUAAAGGUAACGAAUACCCCGCUACACCUUGUAGUGGCGAAGUACCCACAAUGGGUAGCUAAUAUUGUACUUGUGCCUAAAAAGGAUGGCAAGGUGAGGAUGUGUGUUGACUAUAGGGAUCUGAACAAAGCUAGUCCAAAGGAUGAUUUCCCCUUACCACACAUUAAUACUCUUGUAGACAACACUGCAAGUUUUGUUGUAUUCUUCUUUAUGGAUGGUUUUUAUGGAUACAAUCAAAUCAAGAUGGCUCCAGAUGACAUGGAGAAGACCACUUUUAUUACCCCUUGGGACACGUUUUGCUACAAGGUAAUGCCUUUCGGUCUCAAAAAUGCCGGGGCAACUUACCAAAGAGCUAUGGUCACUCUUUUCCAUGACAUGAUGCACAAGGAGAUAAAGGUCUAUGUCGAUGACAUGAUCGCUAAAUCUAAGAAUGAAGAAGAUCAUAUGAACCAUCUGAAGAAGCUGUUUGAACGCCUCAGAAAGUUUAGAUUACGAUUAAACCCUGCAAAAUGCACAUUUGGUGUCCGUUCAGGGAAGUUGCUUGGUUUAAUCGUUAGUCAAUGAGGUAUUGAGGUAGACCCUGACAAAGUACGAGCUAUACAAGAAAUGCAUGCUCCACGCACCGAGCGAGAGGUUAGAGGUUUCCUUGGACGUUUGAAUUACAUCUCAAGGUUUAUCUCACACAUGACGGCCACGUGUGAGCCUAUCUUCAAAUUGCUUCGAAAAGAUCAAGUUGUUGAAUGGAAUUCUGAUUGUCAAAGUGCUUUUGAGAAGAUCCGUCAAUACUUGCAAGAGCCUCCUAUUUUGAUUUCACCUGUCCCAGGAAAGCCAUUAGUCAUGUAUCUGGCCGUACUUAAAGGGUCAAUGGUAUGCGUGCUAGGGCAACAUGACGAAACUGGUCUGAAAGAACAUGCUAUUUACUAUCUGAGUAAAAAGUUUACUGAUUGUGAAAGUCGAUAUUCUCUUUUGGAGAAGACUUGUUGCGCGCUGGCAUGGGUCGCUCGUCGUUUGAGGCAGUACAUGAUUUGCCACACUACUUUGUUGAUCUCGAAAAUGGAUCCAAUAAAGUAUAUAUUUGAGAAACCCGCCUUAACUGGAAGACUAGCCCGUUGGCAGAUGCUCUUGUCAGAGUACGACAUCCAGUAUGUAACCCAGAAAGCAAUCAAGGGAAGUGUUUUAGCAGAGUAUCUCGCUCAUCAACCAGUUGAAGACUAUCAGCCAUUGAAGUUUGAUUUCCCCGAUGAGGAUAUAAUGGUGAUAAAGGAUUGUGAGAUCCUAGGCCCAGAUGAAGGACCAUAACCAGGAUCUCGAUGGAAUCUCGCGUUCGACGGUUCCUCCAAUUACAGUGGUCAUGAUGUGGGAGCUGUUUUGAUGAAUCCAAAUGGUGGCUUUACCCCUUUCACAGCAAGGUUGUGCUUUGAUUGUACGAAUAAUGUCGCAGAAUAUGAAGCUUGUAUCCUUGGUCUUGAAGCCGCAAUUGAUCUUCGAAUCAAGAUCCUUAAGGUGUAUGGAGACUCCACCUUGGUGACCUAUCAGGUCAAAGGAGAAUGGGAAACUCGUGAUGCGAAGCUGAUUCCGUAUCGUGCUCAUGUUGUAAAGAUGAUGGAAUACUUUGAUGAUAUCACUUUCCAUCACAUCCCAAGAGUAGAGAAUCAAGUGGUUGAAGCUUUGGAAACAUUAGCAUCAAUGUACCAAUCCAUAUUCUAUAAUGAAGCUCCACUUAUUCGAAUCGAGCGAAGAGAUGAGCCUGCUUACUAUCAAUCGAUUGAAGAAGAAACUGAUGGUAAACCUUGGUUUCAUGAUAUCAAGCGAUAUCUUCUAAGUCAAGAGUAUCUAGAAGAUGCUACAUUGUUGGAUAAGAAAACGCUGAGGAGGUUAUCAUCCAAAUUCUUUUUGAGCAAUGAUGUGCUUUACAAGAGAAACCAUGACAUGGUUCUGCUGAGAUACGUGGAUAGACACGAAGCAGGCCUGUUGAUCAAGGAGAUUCAUGAAGGAUCCUUUGGAACCCGUGCUAAUGGGCAUGCCAUGGCCAAGAAGAUUUUGAGAGCUGGCUAUUAUUGGUUGACCAUGGAGUCCGAUUGUUUCAGCUAUGCAAGAAAAUGUCAUAAAUGUCAGAUCUAUGCUGACAAAGUGCAUGUAUCGCAAACACUGUUAAAUGUUAUAACAUCACCUUGGCCUUUCUCAAUGUGGGGCAUCGACAUGAUUGGUGCUAUAGAGCCUAAGGCUUCCAAUGGUCAUCGCUUCAUCUUGGUUGCCGUUGAUUACUUUACUAAAUGGGUAGAGGCUGCUUCCUACACCAAUGUGACAAGAGAUGUGGUCGCUCGCUUUAUCAAGAAGGAGAUUAUCUGCCGCUAUAGAAUCCCGAGCAAGAUCAUUACUCACAACGGUUCAAACUUGAACAACAAGACAAUGACAGAAUUAUGUGAGAGUUUCAAUAUUGACCACUAUAACUCUUCUUCAUAUCGUCCAAAGAUGAUCGGGGUUGUUGAAGCCGCCAACAAAAAUAUUAAGAAGAUCCUGCAAAAGAUGGUGAAAACUUAUAAGGAUUGGCACGAAAUGCUACCCUUUGCUUUGCAUGGAUACCGGACCCCAAUCUGCACUUCAACAGGAGCAACCCCAUUCUCUUUAGUGUAUGGGAUGGAAGCAAUUCUCCCAGUCGAAGUAGAGAUGCCUUCAAUGAGAAUAUUGAUGGAGGCCAAGCUAGACGAAGCUGAAUGGAUCCAGAACAACUAUGAUCAACUUAACCUCAUUGAUGAGAAGCGUAUGACCGCUCUGUGCCAUGGAAAAUUGUACCAGCAACGAAUCAAGAAAGAGUUUGACAAAAAGGUUCAUCCUCGGGAGUUCAAGGAAGGGGAUCUCAUGCUCAAGAAGAUCCUGCCCAUACACAAAGAUUCCCGUGGGAAGUGGACUCCCAACUAUGAAGGCCCAUACAUUGUAAAAAGAGCAUACUUUGGAGGUGCUCUAUUUCUCACAACUAUGGAUGGUUAAGAGCUCAUUCACCCUGUGAACUCUGAUGCAGUCAAAAGAUACUAUGCCUAACAAAACCCGGUAGACUGAAAACCCGAAAGGGUGGUCCAGGCAAAAGUUAGGGAUAAAAAAACGGUAGCUCGCUAAGUUGAAACCCUGAGAGGGCGACUUAGGCAAAAAGGAGUGUCCCAGUGGAUUGAAAACCCGAAGUGGCGAUCCAUGCAAAAAUUAGGGACAAAAGGCAUAGACUGCAUCAAUGGUCACUGAUAAAUAUAGAAGACCUAAAGGUGGAAGAUCAAUUAAAUUUCUCCCUUCAGAAGCGAGGUUUUGUGGAGUUAUUGUUAUUAGGGAUAGUAGUAGUCAUUGCGAUUCAAUGUAAACCUUUCCCUAUUGCCAUUUUCAAAUGUGUAACAUUCCAUGGAGCUACACCAUUUGUGUGUUACCAUUCUUGAAUAAAUAUAAGUUUUCCUAUCAAAUUCUAUGAUUUGCUAUUUUUCUCUGAUUUUCUUUGUUAUGCAAAAUGCCAUUUAUUUGUUAAUAAUGAAAUUUUGAACUCAAAAAGAACUUUUCAACAUAUUGAGAAACACAAUUUUGCUUUGACAUGUGGAAAUAUUAAAAGGAAAUAUUUCGUCUUUCCCCACAAGUCUCAAGUUGUAAGAUUUAUCUUGGAUGAUUAACAUAUAUCUCCAGAGAGCACGAAUUUAUCAUUCUCCGAAAGGAUUACUGGGCCAGUUGUAACUGUACACUUGAUGGAUCCUCCUUUGAUGUAUUUAGAGUCACUCCUUUGGUUGAGUUGUUGGUAUUAAGGAUUCGGUAUCUCCAUUAAAUCCUUCUAUAAAUUUCCAGUUUGCAUGUUGUCCGCAUUUGCAUAUCAUGAUCAUUCAUGUAUCAUGCAUAUAAGCAAAAUCAAAAUCAUGCCUAGCCCGAAGUAUACUUCGUGCUCAUUUGCAUAGUAUCAGGUCUCGUUGCUGAGUUUGUCCCUUGACCUCUAAGUCCAGUUGUUACUGGCAUCGUUUGUUAAGUCUGGUUGUCACUAGCAUCUUUGUCAAAUCCAGUUGUAACUGGUAUCUCCCUAAAUCUGGUCAUCACCAACGUCUUCUGUCAAGUCCAGUUGUAACUGGCGUCCUAUUUCUAAACCUAGUUAUAACUGGUAUCUUUUUUAAAAGGCUGGUUGUAACCAUCAUUGUCUACGAGCCCAAUUGUUAUUAGCAUUACCUCUCAAGUCCUGUUGUAACCAGCAUCUUAUCUGAAAUCCAAUCGUAAUUGGUAUCUCAAGCAUAGUUGUAAUUGGCACGUUAAUAAAAUCCAUUUGUAAAUGGUAUGAUAAGUCUGGUUGUACCCAGCAUUUGUUUUAAGUCCAGUUGUUAUUGGCAUUAUCUAUUAAGUCCAGUUGUAACUGGCGUACAAAUUGUGAAGUCCAGUUGUAACCGGUAUCCUUUUGAAGUCUGGUUGUCACCAGCGUCUGUUAAAUCCAUCUUUAAAUGGUAUCUUUAAGUCUGGUCGUCACCAGCACCCUUGAAGUCCAGUUGUAACUGGCACUAAUCCGUUUGAAGAUGGUUAUACCAUAUGUUUAUGGUAUAAGUCGAAUUGUGGUUGGCACCUACAGAGAGUUUUUCUAUCAUGUUGGCUCUAGCUUCCUAGAAAGUAGUCGUUCUGAUUCUUUCAUUGACAGGAAUUUCCAAAAAAAUUGGUCGGAUUAUUUUCUUGUGAGAUAUCUCUGGAUUUAUAUAAAUAUAUUCAAGUUGUCAUCAGGUCAUGUCUGAACUUGCUGUCAGAACUUUUUGAUAUUCCCCAUCAUUGUCAGGUCAUGUAUGAACCUGUUGCUGAACUUUUAUUCCAGUGUUAUCGGGUCUACAAAAAUAUAUAUGCAUUCGAGUUGUUAGUAAGUCAUGUGUGAACUUACUGUCAAAAUCUCUUGUACUCCAAGUGUCGUUUAUCAACUUUCACUUUGAGUACUCCCCAGGGUGUGUCUGACUCUCCAGCAGGAUUGUUAUCCCCAGCGAGUUUUUUUACCCCAGUUGCCUAUUUCCCUAUGGGCCAUCAGUAUUCCCCACAGAUUAUUUUGUCUGGCAUACAUCUCCUAUUAAGGAUUCACCAUGUCCCUAACAGAUAAAUUCAGAAGUAAAAAGUCUUUCACCCAUGCAUAUCACAUCAUAGCAUUUUCAUUUCAGGACCAAAAUAUGGGUAUUCUUGGUAUUUAACUAUCUCCUGCCAUGACCAUAUGAAGGUUGUCUUACUUCAUAUUCUCUGGUUGAAGAUACUUAAAUAGGGGAAACUGUCACACCCCGAUUUUGCCCCCGAUAUUCAUGACAUUAUUUCAUUCAUUAUUUGUUCCUCAUGAUUUUGUUCCUCUAUUAUGGUACCCUUUUUUCAUAAGCAUCAAGUGGUCUCCUUUUCUGUUAUUAGUGCACCUUGUUGUUUUAUGCGCAUUCAAGGCAAAGUUCUACCGUCAACAUGUUUAGAUACAUAGGUGCUUUCCGCGUCGGUAGUAAUCAAGGAAUUCGAGGAUUAUUGUGUUUGGAUUAGAGUAUGUGGUCAAAAAUAUUUUUCAUGAAAAGCUUUGAUGAACAUUAUUUGAUUCAAGGAGAUUCCAGUGGUUUACCAUGUUUUAAGGGAGAGUCAUUAUCAUGUGAGUUUUUCAAGAGGCACCAAGCAUGGUUGUCGUCGGAAUCAAGCUAGUGGCCGAAGGCCAUCCUUUAUUUGCAUGGAUUUUAAUAGAUAAUUCAAGGGAAACACAAAAGGAGUCUCAAUCAUGUUCACUAAUUUGGUGUUGAUAUUGGGAUUUAAAUCUAAAGGGGGCAUUUGGUCGAAGCUAAUGAUACUCACAUGCAAACUUUAUGCUUGGAUCCUAAGGUAACAAAUGUGCAUCAUGUUAUUGUUAACCAAGCGCCAUUCAAAGUAGGCUAAGACCAUGUAAGAGCAACUAGUAUGUUAAUUGAGGAAAAUUACAGGCCUUGUAUAUGAUACAAUAAAAUUAGUUGUUGGCCAUUAACACUGGACCAAGCAACCUCAAGAAAAUCUAAUUUGAUUGGUCGCUUCAAGACAGGUUCUAUUUCAAUUUCUACAUCACAAAAUGCUAUCAAAACUUAAUAUCCAAAUGUGUAGAAGCUUGAUGGUAGUUGUGUCUUCUAUAUUCCUUACCACCAUACAAUUGGGUCGACAAUGUAUCCUUAUUACUCAGGACCAUUAUCGCACUUAUAAUUGUAAUACGGUUGGGAGGAUUCACUAUGGUCCUUCAUAGCCAUAUCAGCAUCUGCAAUUAUUUUCUUUGUUGACCCAAUUGUUGUUUCAGCAACAGACUUAGAAUCUUCAAAAAUAUACGGCAUAACCAUUUGCACUGCUAGAUGAUCUUGUGGAUUGCUGCUUAUUUGAUUCAAUUGACGCACCCUUCAACCUGUGCUAGGAGCUGCAAAGGAGAAGCAAAUCAACACUCCUUCUGUCAAAGAAUGGCUUGAUGACUUGAAAGAUGCUGUCUACGAUGCUGAAGAUUUACUCAACCAAACUAGCUAUGAUUCCCUUCACCAAGAUGGAGAACAAACUACCUGCAGCAAAACAACAUCAAAUUGUGAGAUGUGGCAAUAUUUUUGAGAAAAAAAUAUACACAAUGGAACUGCGGAUGCUUUUCGUUCUAAAGUGGUGGAAACCGAGACCAACGGUGCAAAGUUGGAACUACAAAAUCCUAUUGAUUCAGGUGCACAGAUGGAUGACAUGAAAAAACCAUUUAUAACGCCAUCGCCACCUUCAACCUGCAUCCCUAUGCGAAGACAUACUUUCCAUUCUUUUUCUCGCGUUUCACUGCAGUAAAAAAUCAUAAUAAUUUGGUAAGGCAGUAAAAAUUCACAAACAACAAAAAGGAACCUAACAUUUUCACAAGAGAGAGUACAAGGUACAAGUUGCCUUUUUCAGAAUAAAACAUCAAAAUAGGGUAGACAAAGGGAAGCACAAGAGGCGUCCUCAAAGACCGAUGUCCCUUGGCUCUUGUGGGCCAAUUCAAAAAAACCCUAGCAGGAUGGAUUUAAAAGCAAGAACAUUCUCCUCAUGGAGGGGGCGGCUAUUGUUCAAAAAGGAAGAGGACGAACCCCUAAGAACACCACAACGAAAUCAAUCAGAUCGAUUCUUGAGAACCCAAGCAAAGUUGUAAAAGCAUUGAGUCCAAAGGAAAAGGAAAAGAAGUGGUCACGCACCUGUUCAUCUGCUCCAAAGUACCCCGAUCCAAUAAAUUUAUUACCCCUUUCUGCGUUUCAUUCCCAGAUUCACGAAUGUGUGCAUAGUUCCUCUCUUCCAUGCUUUGUUUUAUUUCUCUACAAAAUGAUUGUCCUUUUUUUUGUCGUUUGAUGUUGGAGGUUGACUUCGUGGAUUAGGGUUCAAGAUUUGGUAGAUGUCAAUUGCAUUUGUUCCUUUUUUUUCUUAAUGCUGAAGUUUGGUUUGUGUAAGGAGAAAUAGACUUUGAUUUAUUCCGUAAGUGUUUCAAGCUGAGAAGAGAAGGGUUUGAGGCAGAGCGGAACAUUCCAUUUUCAGUUUCGAUUUGUAUCAAAAUGAGUUUUAAGGCCAAAGAUGAACGGUGCCUUUCCCACUGCCCGAGAUUAAUAUUGUUUUGUUUCUCCCUAGGCUUUAAUGACCGUCUUUCUCGGUCACGACGUGUGGUCGUUGGGGUGGGAGAAUCUUGUCUUCACACGUGCCUUCCUGCGGAAGGUGGAGGGUUUUGCUGGAUCCGACCCAUGGUUUCGAAUAACCCGGAUGGAUCUUGCCCAUUUGGCCCUCCUAGGUUGACGAACCGCCCCUGCUCCGUCUAGUUUGUUGCGCCCUGAUGGGCCUUAGGAGCAUUCAGGGCCCACUGUUUUUUUACUGUUUUUGUUGGCAUUUGUUUUGUUUUUAUUAUUUCUCUUUUUAUUUUCUUUCAAGAAAUAAUUUUAUUUAUUUAAAAUGAAGUUUUAUUUAUCAAUUAG
rnacentral:lncRNA from 1 species